UACGUAGGGUGCAAGCGUUAAUCGGAAUUACUGGGCGUAAAGUGUGCGCAGGCGGUUUUGUAAGUCUGACGUGAAAUCCCCGGGCUCAACCUGGGAAUUGCGUUGGAGACUGCAAGGCUAGAAUCUGGCAGAGGGGGGUAGAAUUCCACGUGUAGCAGUGAAAUGCGUAGAGAUGUGGAGGAACACCGAUGGCGAAGGCAGCCCCCUGGGUCAAGAUUGACGCUCAUGCACGAAAGCGUGGGGAGCAAACAGG
rnacentral:rRNA from 1 species